rnacentral:lncRNA from 1 species
UAAGCCAUUUUACUGGAAAUUCAAGUAAUGAAGUGCUGAGUCAUUAAGGAUGUAAGUAGGAGGUGGCCUUUGAGCAUGUUAGUAGCUACCCACUAAGCAAAGGUAAUUACUUGAAAAUUUAAAAGGAAACCCAGGGUCAUGAAAUCAAGGACUCUGCUCUUUCCAUUCCAUUUUACAUCUGAUCCAAACAAACAGUCAUUCCCUUCCAUUUCGUUCCAAAAGAGAGAAGUAAAAGCAUUACUCAGCAAGCCUAUUAAGUAACCAUCAAGUAAAAACAGUAUGGGGCAAGGAAAGGUUUGUGAAAAGCAAGGCUUAAAAUCCUAUAAAGCUAAAGCAAAAUCAGUUCAGUUCUGGCUAUCAUUGCCCAUACUAUCUGACCACUUCCCGUCCUCUAACCUGCCGAAACUCCCUGCCCAGUCCUUGGCCAGUUCACUCAUUCCAUCCGUGUCCUGUCCAGGCUAUUUUAUGUGAUUAGAACAAAGAAUUAAAGCUAAGGAGGAGUUAUAUCAAGAUCAAAAUCAAGCUCACAAAAAGGUAUAUAUAUAUAUAUAUAUAUAUAUAUAUAUAUAUAUAUACACUUAUAUAUAUNNNNNNNNNNNNNNNNNNNNNNNNNNNNNNNNNNNNNNNNNNNNNNNNNNNNNNNNNNNNNNNNNNNNNNNNNNNNNNNNNNNNNNNNNNNNNNNNNNNNNNNNNNNNNNNNNNNNNNNNNNNNNNNNNNNNNNNNNNNNNNNNNNNNNNNNNNNNNNNNNNNNNNNNNNNNNNNNNNNNNNNNNNNNNNNNNNNNNAUGGCAAAAUUAGUCAUCACUAAGAGCCAUCAUAUAUACUAUUAUUUUGUGAUUGCUUAAAAAGUCCAUCACAAAUUACUAUCUUUUGUGAUUGUUUUUAAAAACUGUCACAAAAUUCCGUCACGUAUUCUUGUUUUUCUAGUAGUGACUCUUAGUUAAGUCAAACCCUUAUUCUGAUUAAUUAAACUCUAAACAUUUAUUGGUUAAGCCAAACUCUUAUUCUAAUUAGCUAAGCAUUCGUUACGGAUGUCGAUUUUCAGUUUUUAAUCUUGGUCAUUACUUCUUAUUUUCAAUGAUAUAGAUGAUGUAUGUCCGGUAAAGAUCUAUAACAAAUACAUGCUAUGGAUUAUUACAUACAUAUAUAUAUAUAUAUACGGUCCGGACCAAGUGCAUACCCCUUAUCUUACUUACCCGUGCUCACCCCCCUUUAGGCGACGGUUUCGGUCAUACAACCGUCGCCUAUACUUUUAGCGACGUUAUAUGUUGUCCGUCGUUAAAAGUAUAGGCGACGGUUGUAUGACCGAAACUGUCGCCUAAAGAGGGGUGAGCACGGGUGAGUAAGAUAAAUGGUAUGCACUUAAUCCUUGUUCUAUAUAUAUAUAUAUAUAUUAGUGUGUAUUAUGUUGUUUUAAAGUACAUGAAAAAAUUGAAUUGGUAAGUUAUAUGGCUUGACUUGAAAUUGAUAAAUAAAGCAAUGGGUAAUUGAUCAUGUGUAUUGAUCAAUUAUGGGAAUCGAAAUUCUCUAUAAUGAUUAUGUUAAAAUCAAAGAAAUUGAAAAUUUGAAAAGUUUGUAAACUAACUAGUGUAGUAACUAAUAGAGUAUUCAUGAAAUUUGUUAUGUAUUGAAUUGCCUUUAACUGAAAUAGAGCAAAGGAGUUAGGCUGGUUGUGUGGUGAUAUAAGGAAGCUAAAAUGGGCUAAUAGGACAAACAAAUGGCUAUGAAAAUUUCAUUUCAAAACAGCACAUAUAAGAUGUUUGAUAUAAAUCCUCUAUGAACUUUUAUCGUUAAAAAUCAAGAAUUUGAUGAAGCCGAAGCUAAGAUUACUUGUAUAAACCUUUUAUAUGAUUAGUUAAGGGUUUUGAGCAGAUUAAAUUGAAGAGUGAGUAAUUUUAAGCCAAAACAAAAAAUUUGAAAAUUUGUAUGUCAGGCUGAUUUGGGCUAACUAUUUCGGCUAGUUAGACUUGCUGGAAAAUUAUAAUUUUCUGGGGUCCUGUAAUAUGCAAUCCUAGCUAGCCAUAGCCUUCAAAAUGGACUAAUUUUGAGUUCAGAAGACUGAGUUAAGAUGUGCCAAAGUGGGUGCGUCGAAACUGUCCAACUCUGGAAAACAGAUUUGAAGCAGUCUCCUCCCACGAAUUUUCUGGAAUUUUGUGUUAGGAAUUUGAAAAUGUUUAAAGAAUAAAAGUUGUAGCCCCAGAAGUUAGCUUUGCUUGGGCUCAAGAAACGCUCAAAAAUGUUUUGAAACGAAGAAGUUAUGACUGUUUUAGCGAGAGUGGGUAAAGCUGGAAAAAAUUUAAAAACAGUUGCGACCAAACAUUUUUGGGGUUUGCUUUGGACUGCCUAUGAUGUCCAAAAUAGGUGGAUUGUAUUUUAUAAAUAUAGCUUAAUAUGGUGUCUAAAAUAUAUCCAAAAUUGGUUGUAAUCGAAGUUAUGAGCUAAAAGAUAAGAAAUUAUAAAGAAGCCAUUUAAACUCUCUAGAAAUUGAAGAUAGCAACUGAGUUUAGAAGGAAGUUUAAGCAAUAUAUUGACAAAAGGAGGAUUGAAUUCAGCCAUAACAAGCUCAAGACAUGAAUUGAAGCAAGCUUAGAGCAAGAGUUAAGUUAUGAUAUCAAUUAAGUAAGGUAAAUUAUACUUACUCAUCAAAUUUAUAGAAAUUGAAAUAAAGAUGGAAUUGAAUUGCUUUAUUGGUUGAGAAAUUGAUUUGGUUAAUGCUAUUGUAUGAGUUCUGAAGUGACAAGGGAAGAUUUUCAUGGAAAAAUCAUUGGCUAGAAUAUGUCUAAAAGGUUGUGAAUUCUGGGGUUUUAAACCAUGCAUUCAUGGUGUUUGUUAAAAUAUCUCAAUGAGACAAAUAUGUUAAAACAUGAGAAUUGGCCAGUGUUAUGAGUAAGAUAGCCUGCAUAUCUGUAUUAGAAGAUAACCUAACUUAUUUGUAUGUCUGGAAUAAAGCCCAAAGUGAAGUUCAUAAGUUUUUGUUAAACUUGAAUUUGGAUGAAAAAUGUGGUGACAGGGCAGUUUUGAGCCUCUAUAAGUACACCUUAAAGAAUCUGUUUGGGCCAUGUUAUAUUUUUAUAAAAUAUUAUGUAGUAACAUCUCAAACAUAUCCAAAAUUGAAAUCAUUCGGAUGUAUAGACUGCAUGAUAGAAAAUCACAAAGUAGCUACGAAAGUAACCAAAAUCUGGAAAUCUGUAGAAGCAGAAAAUUGGCCAAGUCUGAAACAGCUGUGCGUGGGCUGUUUCGGGUCACUGUUUCGAAGCCUUGCCAAACUCUUUCCAUAGAUGUUAUAUUUUUUAAAAAUACUACGUAGUAUGAGGUAGAACAUAUCCAAAAAUGGAUUCAAUUUGAUGUAUAUCGAGUAAGAUAAAAAUUCGUAAAACUAGCCCGAAGACCACAAAAUUCAAAAUUUCCAAAUUUUGUUUCUGCAGAAUCUGGGCAGUAGGCAGGCUGUCUGGGUUGUUUCGGCACGCCAAACCAUUUUGGUUCGCUUUCUGGACGUAACGUAAAAUUUUGAUAUGUUGCUUAAUUUUUCGUGUUGAAUCCAAAUAUGUAAUUGUUUCGUAGCAUUUUUCGGACAACCCAAAAAGUGUAAAAUUAAAAUGAGAAAGAAGUUUCCUUUAUUUUGUUAACUAUGAUGUAAGUUUAUGAUAUAAUUAGAUUGUGUAGUCCUAUGAUGAAUGUACUUGUUAACCUACGUUAGAUGUAAUAUCUCAGGCGUAGAAUGAAGAAACGAUUUCUAAGUUAAUAUGGAAAAUAUUAUUAAGUCUCAGAUGAAUUGAAGUCCCGAAUGGGAUUGAUGAGCAUAUUAUAACCGACUUGUAAUGAAUAGGUCGUGCGACAAUGGAUAGAAGUUAAAUCAUGAACGUUCGGUGGACGUAUAGUGACAAAUGCAAACUGAGGCAAGUUUUUCAGUUCUGUUAUGUUUGUGGAUUGAAUGUGGUUAUGUGCUAAAUUACAUAUCGUGCUCUAUGAAUUGUUAAAGUCAAAAUAUGACUAAGUUAAUUGGGUAUGGAACUCAAUUUAUAUGUGAUAUGUGAUAACACAUGUUGUAUGAUGUAAUGCGAUAAUUGGAAAUGUAUAAUGCAGGAAUUUAUGCAUUGCACGAAAUUAUUGAUGCAUGUAGGACAUGAAUAGUAAAGGAAAUAUAGUGCAUAUGAAAUUGUGUGCUAUGUGAAACAUGAUAGACUGUUAAAUUUAUUGGGCUGUCAAGCUCAAUCUUGCAAACACAAACUCUUUGCAGGUUAAUGAUGUUAAGCGAUAUUACUUGCUAUACAUAUGAUAAAGAUUGAACGAUGUGCAAAAUGAAUAUAUUUUCUUGAAUUAGAAAUAGUUUAAAUCUAUGAUUGAUUGUUUCGUCAAAUGUAAUUGGCAGUUAUGUAUAGUUUGAAAUGUUGAAUGGAUAAAGAAUGUUUAUUUUGAAAUGAGAAUAAAUAUGAUUCUGAAAUAAGUGAAUCAUCGAUAGAAAAGAUAUUAAGUAUUGAGACUUAAGUUUUUAAUACGUUUACACAGAUUAUACAAAUCAUAUAAUAAAUAUGAUUCUAGUAAAAAAAAAAAGAAUUGUAAAGGUUGCGAUUCAAGGAAUGAAUGAAUGGAAAAGAAAAAAAAAUUAUUCCAUAUUUUAGCUAUUUUAACAUUAAAUAAUGGUUUAAAGCUAGAACAAAAUAAUAUUAACGCACAAGAUCGGGAAGGAAAAUAGUCCUGAUUUUGGGGGCGUUACAAAAAUAACAUACGAAAUUGCAAAUGGAUUUUCACCUGUCAUACAGUACGUAAUCCGCGUAGACAGGUUAUUCCGACAUAUUAAAGGAUGAAUAUGAAAAAUAGUAUUCCUUAUGAAUACGAAAGAAAUAAUAUCUCUUACCAAACAAAAAUAACAUCCCUUACGAAUACAACAAAUAAUAUCUCUUACCAAACAAAAAUAACAUCCCUUACCAAACGAAAAAUAACAUCUCUUACCUUAGUAGAAGACUGGAUACUGCAAUAGUGAAGUAGCAUAAUACUCUUCUUCUUUCUCUCUAUAGUUUCUCUCUAUAGCUUCUCUUGUGAGUCUUCGUGAAUUGGUGAGAAUGAAAGAAGAAUUAAGCUUCUAUUUAUAGGAGAAUAGACUAAAUAGUAACUAAUUCAUAAACUGUCCAGAUUGAUUUACUUUUAGAAUGGACGAUCUAUAUUGAUUACUAUUAAAAUCACAACCGACGGUCCAGAUUGAUUACUUUUAAAACCACCACCGACGGUCAGGAUUGAUUUACUUUUAAAACAACCAUCGACGGUCCAGAUUGAUUUACUAUUAAAACCACCACCGACGGUCCAGAUUGAUUUACUAUUAAAACCACCAUCGACGGUCCAGAUUGAUUUACUAUUAAAACCACCAUCAACGGUCCAGAUUGAUUUAACUUAUUACACUUUAGUACCCCUAAAGUUUUUCAAGUUUGUAUUAUUCCCCUCUAACUUUUGUAAUUCACUUAUCUUCAAUAAACACAUUCUUAAUACUUUAACAGUUAUUCAUCAUUAAUAUUAUUACUAACAAUAUCGACAACCAGAUCAUUCCCAGGAAAGAGGGGGCUUUCUGAUAAGAAUUUCUUCUUAUUGGCGCGCAAUUAGGUGACCAAACCUCUUUCCUCGACAUAACUUUCUAGACAUUGUCAAAAAUAUAAAUAGUAAUAUAAAUAAAUGUAUUGUCUCAAUUAUUGAUUUAAUAAUAUAAAAUAUUAUGCAGAUGAUACUGUGACAAUAAUUGAAUCAAAAAACGUGAGAUACUAUAUGCAACAAUUACUGUACCAAUACUUGAGUAAACUGAGUGGCUUCUUACGUAAGCAUUAAUACCAUGUGCUACUAUGCAACCACGCGUAUUACUAUAUUUUUACCACCGGUUAUUUCAAAAGUUAACGGUAAAACUUUCGCUGUUAUUUUUAUAAAAGAUAUUUCUAUCGUUUUCUAACUAAGACAAUUAUUCUGUUGUGGGGUCCAUCAAUGAUAGUGUCGUCGAACGAAUAUUCCUUGACAAAAAGAAUAUUUUCCGACCAAACGAAUAUUCCCUAACACAACGAAUAUUUUAUAUCAACUUGCAUACUUUGAAAAAAAAUUAAAUAUCGCGUUCAACUUUAACCUUUUAUCAAUUUAACCAUUUAAUAAAUAGAAUAAUAAUUAUAAAAAAAUUCAAUACUUUCAUUUCAUAAAUUCGGGGUCUCACAAUACUGAACUGAAAAACUAAAUCUUUUUAUUCAUUGUUUAUUCUUAUUAGUUUAUUCUUGUUAAUUUAGUUAAUUAAUUCGAAAUCCCCUUUUCAUUAGAAAUCAUAGGAUAAAUAUAAAACAAAUCACUUUUUGUGGGAUCGAUCCUUUCUUACUACUUUGUUAAUUGUUUGAAUUUUUAAAGUGAAAGUGAGGUUAAUUUAGGAGUGUAAACGACAGCUCCCAAAUUUUGGCGACGUUGCCAGGGAAUAAUUUGGCAUUUUGUUUUUAUUCUAUUAUUUGUUUUUUUUGUUUAUAACUCAAUCUUCUCAGGCUACUACAUUAGAUUUUGACCUAAGAAUUUAGAAAACUACAAGGAGACUAACGAAGCAAAAUCAGAAAACUCAACAGUCUACUGCAGAUUUGGCCGUGGCUUCUGCAUCAUCACCAGGCCUCAAUAUAGCUUUGGAGCUACUUUCGAACGAAUCAUCCACCGAAUCCGAUAAGGAUGAAGAGAUGGGGGUUCCAAAUAACAACAGAACUCUCAGGGAGUUGGUAACUCCUAAUUUAAAUCAGCAACAUUUAUGUAUUAAAUAUCCUAAUUUAGAUGCUUCAUUUGAACUUAAAUUCGGAAAAAUCCCUUUACUGCCUACUUUUCGUGGCCUUAUAGGCAUGGACCCCUACAAACAUUUGAAGGAAUUCUAUGUGGUGUGCUCCACCAUGAGACCACUUGGGAUCACGGAAGAGCAAAUAAAGCUUAGAGUCUUUCCCUUCUCACUAGCAGAUCUGGAAAAGGAUUGGCUAUACUACUUGCGCUUAGGUUCGAUAUAAUCUUAGAAUGACAUGAAACAAUUGUUCCUAGAGAAAUACUUCCCAUCCUUGAGAUUAGCUAACAUCAGGAAGGAGAUCUGUGGGAUUAGAUAAUUCAGUGGAGAGACACUAUAUGAGUAUUGGGAGAGAUUCAAAAAGCUCUGCUCUAGCUUUCUACCACAUCAAAUAGAUGAACAACACCUUAUCCAGUAUUUCUACGAAGGGUUGGUACCAAUGGAUAAAAGCAUGAUCGACGUAACUAGUGGAGGAUCACUAGUUGAUAAGACCCUAGAGGCUGCGAGGAAUUUGAUUGCAAACAUGGCUGUAAACUCACAACAAUAUGGAACUAGAAUGAAUCAGGCACCAGUAAGGGUAAGCGAGGUGAGCACGUGUGAUCAUGGACAACAAAUUUUUGAACUAAAGACUAUGGUUAGACAAAUAGAUACAGGUCAAGUACCAGCUACAAAGUUUUGUGGGAUCUGUCUACAACCCAAUCACAAUAUAGGUGAAUGCCCAACAUUGCAGGAUAACGAGACUAACCAACAAGCCAAUGCCAUGGGAAAUUACCAAGCACCACAAAAGAAUUAUGAUCCCUAUUCAAACACAUACAACCCAGGAUGGAGUGUAAGAUCCCAACUUUUAUGAAUAAAGAUGAAUUUUCUAUAAAUAUCAUUUUUGAAUAGUAUGGAGUGAAUUUAAUAUAAUGUUAUAAUUGUGGGUAAUAUUUAUAAAUUUUGCAAAGUACGCAAGUUGUUAUAUUAUAUUCGAUUGGUCAGGGAAUAUUCGUUUUAACAGGGAAUAUUCGUACGAUGGCACAAUCAUUGGUGGACACCACAACGUAAUUAUUGUUGGAUUGAUAAAACGACAAAAAUAUCUUUUUAUAAAUAACGGCGGAAGUUUUACCGUUAACUGUUGAACUACCCGGUAGUAAAAGUACAGUAAUACGCGUGGUUGCAUAGUAGCACACGAUAUUGAUUAUUGAUGCUUACGUAAGAAGUCACUUAGUUUUGCUCAAUAAUUGUUACAAUAAUUACUGUUCAAUAUUUUAUUUUAUUGAUUCAAUAAUUGCUGCGUUGAUAUUUUAUAUUAUUGUUGUUUCAAUAAUUGUCACUGUACAGUAUUUUUCAUUAUCAAAUCAAUAAUUCAUAUUAUUUGAAUAAUAUUAUUAGAUAGCAUUAUUGGAAAUUCUAGAAAGUUCUAUCAAGGAGAAGUUUGGUCACCUAAUUGCGCGCAAGUAAGGAGAAAUCCUUAUCGGAAAGCCCCCUCUUUCCUGGGAACUGUCUGAUUAUCAUUAUUGUGAUUCUGUGAUAUUAUUUGUGAAUAAUUAAUUAUUGAUAAGGAAAUAUUUAUUCGAUGAGGAUAUAAAUGAUGAAUUUAUUUAUUUUAUGUGGUUAUAAAUGAAGGAAUUAAUGUUGAGAUAUUUUAUCAGUAUUUUAUCGUAUUAGAGGUAUUAAAAAAUCAAAUCGGUAUUCUUAAAGCUCUAUUGCGUAAGUUAUAAUUUUGAUCUGACUGUCGGAUCGUUGUGAUUUUUGGAUAUGUUAUACAUAUAUAAGUUGAGUAUAUGUCCACAAAUUUUGAACCGUUAAUAAUUAGCGUAUGAUUUGUUAUGAAUUUUAAGAGGUAUUGAAAAUCAUCAGUUUGUGGAUUUCGGAUAUUUUCUGUUUGGAAUUUGGAAAAACUUUUUCUGAAAAGUUGUAGAGAAUUCAAUUUCGUAUGGAAUAGACAUAAAAUUCGUAUUUUUCUGAUAAAAGGGCUAUUUAUUAUAAAUUACUGAAGUUUCGGAAAAUAAAAUAAUUUUUAUUAAAAUUAGGUCGGACCCACUUUUGGUUGUUGAGAAAGAUGGCUGUUCUUUGGUGGACCCCACUUGUGGUGGCAUAAAUUUUUUAAAAAUGCAUGCGUAGAAAAAAAAAAUUAAAUUAAUAUUUUAUUAAUUUAGUCUCCUUUGGCGUUUUAGCAUUUUCCUAUAAAUAGGGUGCUUAGUUAGAAUUGAAAAUCACACAAGAAUCAGAGAAUUAUUCUUCUAUAAUCUUGAGCGUAUUUCUUUAGAGUUUUAGAAAGCUAUGAGCGUAGGAAACUGUGAAAGUUUUCUUCAAGAAUAUCCCUGCUAUAUCAGUUGGAAUACUCUUCUUUUCAAGGUAAGGGAUGUUAUUUUUGUUAAAUAUUCUCUUGAAAUAAUAUUUUCUUCCAAACUCUGUAGUAUAUAAGUAAUAUUAUUUCAUUUUAGAUUUCAAAUUCUAUACUCGUUUUAUUAAAGUUUUGGCUUCUAUACUCCAUGAAAUUAGUAGAAUAUCCUUGAUAUUUGCGCUUCAUCCAGUAUCUUUUCAUGAAAAUAUUAUUCUGAGCAUUCUUGAUAAGUUUUAACUUUUUCAUGUCGGAGUAUUAUUCACGGGGUUACUAUUCCCGAAGUAUUAUUCACCUGGGAACUAUUCAUGAUAAAAAAUUGAUUCGUUUUCGGUCCAAAUUAUUUUUACAAUAUUAUUCUUAAAUUUUACUCUACAAAGCAUUAUCAUGUUGACAAUUUGGACGUUAUUGAUUUCUGGAUAAAUUAAAUUAUAAAUCUUUAAAAAUUUAUCCUUAAACUUGUUUUAUUGAAUUCUUAUAUCAUUGUCAUCAUCCUCAUGUUUAUAUUCUGUUGAAAGUCAUCUGUGGCCUGUAGUGCAUAGAUGGACUUGGUAUGGUUAUAACCAGGGAUUAUUCGGUAUAAUCAUGACCGUAAUGUUAUAAAUGAUGUGGUAAAAAGUCCUCAUUGGCCUGUAGUGCAUUGAUGGAAAGUUGUUGGCAUGAUCAUGACCAUGAAUACACGAAUAUCCUUGGCUCGUAGUGCAUGGAUAAUUUGUGGUCGUGAUACUAAAGAAUAUCCUUGGCCGUAGUGCAAGGGUGAUUCGAUGAUGUGGAUUAUUUAUUAAGCUGAGUCUCAGCGAUAAAAGUGAUGAAAAACCUUUUAAAUCAUAAAAGAUAGUAGAUUUUAUGGUCUACUUGACUCUUCUAAUGGAUUGCUUAUUCCGCUGCAGUUAAACUUGAUGUUUGUUAUAUUUUAUCAGUUUAACACUGUUGAAGGCUAACGAUAAAUUAUUCUGCUUUAUCUUAGUCAUAAUAUUUCUUAUUGGGCUAGUUGAGUUCACCCUUUUGCUUUCAUUGUUCUCUUCAGGAAAUGAGAACGUAGCCGGGACUAAUCGGGAAACGCAGUGACGGUC